GCAUUUUGUCUCUUGUUUAACCUGUUUCUCACCUUUCCAUAGUGAAGGAUAAUAACAUAAUGUAAAUGUUGGCAUAUGGUCCAGUUUAUUUUAUGGUGUCAAAUGUACAUUAAUUAUUCUAUAUGUUUUUUAGUUAUAUAGUUAAUAAAUUGCAAACACACUAAGAACUCAAACAGAAGACUACAUUUGAAAAUAGUCCCCACAUUUCUUACUUUUGUCUCCUUUCCUUCAUCUUGCCUUUUUUGCCUUCUUUGUAUCCAACUCUUUUCCAAACCCUUCCAUAUCAUCACCUCACAGUUACUGUGCUACCUGGCAGCCUCAGAGUAUCCGUGGCCAGUAACAUAUCCUCAGUGUAGUCUUACGUUAGUGAUUUCACUUGUCUCUUUAAUGGCCAAAUGUUACUCCCAUAACCACACUGUCUCUGUCUCAGGAAGUAGGGAUCUUGCACACAACACUUGUAUUUUUUGACCUGGAGAAAUGCUGCUCUGCACUAUUUUAAGUUUUCAGUAUAACAUCUUCCACGCUGUCCCGUAUGCAUGAAGUGCCCUCCCUGAACUGAUUCAUAAGGCCACAUCCUUCUCCUUGAAAUCUCUCCUAAAGACCCACUUCCCCUAUGAUCCCUAUUAAGCAAUCAUCUAAGUAAUGAUGGCUAGGCAGAGGGGCAGGUAGAAAUAGUGGUGCUACUUGAAUAGCUUUUCCAAAUGUAAAUGUAUAUACAUGUAUACAAAGUUUGUUUGUGUUGAGCUGUAUUUUUCCAUACUCCUGUAUGUCAUUUUGCUCUCCUAGAUUGUAAGCUCUCCUGAGCAGGGACUGUGUCAUUUCCACGUUUUCAUGGCAUCCAGCCCAAGGAAAGGUCUAAAACUUCCCUGAGCCCCUGGGUGAUAGCUGGUAAAACAGUCUGCGUCCUGCUCUUCAGCAAAGUUCAGUGUCAUGGAAAGGGAAGCUCAGCUGUAGGCAGUGUCUUCUCUCAACAGGGAAGCUUUUGCUUUGUAACACUAAAUGGGACAAAAUUGGGAUUUAUUUUUUUUUUCCACUCUUUAUCUUUCUGUUCUUUCCUGACCUCCUUUCAGGUCACUAACAAAGGUUCCAGCUAGUGAUAUUUGCCGUUCUCCAUUCAGAGAAUCUGACAGAAUAAAUCCCAUUGCUACUGGUAUUUUUCUGAAAAGCGUAUUUUGGCAGCAUGUAAAAAAUCUUUACAUUGUUACUGGAGAGUCUUCCUUCAAUGGAAAAUUCAGUUUUCUGGGUCACAGAUGAGGGAGGCAUUAAGAUAAAAAUAAUGGCUUUUGUGCUUCUGUUUGACUGAUCUUGUCGGUUGUCUUUUGAGAGGGGUCGUGGUUCCUUGGGAGGAUAGGAGGAGGGAAAGACAUAGGCUGUGGUUUCUAUGUUCAGGAUAGAAGAUAGGAAGUUUGUGCGUGAAGAGACAGGUAAUAACCCCUCUGGCUUCACAGCAGUAUGGCAUGGGCAGCAUUAGCAUUUGACUGCAGUCACAUAGCAGGAGUUGCUAAAAUGUAACCUGUACUUCAUCCGUGCCACUGACGUUCUGCUUACAGUGGUUGCCUAACUUGCAGAAACAACACCCAACUUCAAACUGGGUUUGGAGGGAUGUCUUCUCAAUAGGGAAACUACUUUCUGGAUUCUGUGGGAUAGUGGGAGGGGGAAGAGGUGUUCUUUUUUCUUUUGUGACUUGUACAUUCACAAGAAUUGUUGGAUGAGUGUUAUGGCAACAUGUAAACUAACAGUUAGUUGUAGCAGCAAUUUUUUGGAGGCAGCACUUAAGAUACAAUUCCGGGUAAUGUGUAGUGAGCCCAUUAAUACUGAAAAACGACCAAAAUAUUCAUGCAGCAAAUUAAAAUGAAGAUUUGAAAAUACUCUAAAAGUAAAACCUUAAAAGAAAAAAUUUUAGGUCAUCAUUUUCCUCAUCACUACAGAAAAUAUUAGAGUUUCAAAAUUAGUAUUUUAAAAUAAUAAAUUUAACUCUGCAGAAAAAAGUUUAUGUGGCUCAUGAAAAACUUGUUUUUAAAGGAGUUUCCUUCAGGUUUUGUUUCAACUUGUUCAUCAAUAACUUCUCGUGGAUGGAGAAUAUUAAAAUUAGUUGAUACUUAAGGAACACAUCCAUAAACUAAGCUCUGUAAAUGUCUAGGUACAUGAUUUACAAGUUUCAUUCUCUUAAGCUUUUUGACUGCCAGGAAAUGGGUUUGAUUUAGUAAGCAAUUCAGGGGCUCCAGUGAAAGCUAAAGUGGACAGUGUUUCAUUUUAAAAACCUCAUAUAAAAAUCCUCUAAGACAAAAUACAAAUUUAAGACUAGAGCAAGAUAAAUUUUCAUAGCGAAAUGGGAGUGACAGGAUAAAUUAUUCUUCUGCAUUAAUAAAUAUCACUUUGACAGUGUCACACAAGUGUCAGUUGUGAGCUAGGGGUUUGUGCGUAGAUUUGAUGUGGUAAUCAAGAUAAUCCCUCUAUGUGUUGAUGCUGAUGUGUGGGGUUUGAUGUGGGCUCUAGUACCAAAUACAAAUGUAGGGUUUUCCUCCUGUGAACAGUUUAGAUGCUAGCACCACCUCUCAGGUACAGAAUAACUGUGCUAUCAUCCACACAGAAUAUUGUUACGUGGCAUCAAGUCUUUCUAUUUGAAUAGAAAAAUAUCAGUUGAUGGCAUUCAAAAGAAAUAUUAUUAGCUCUGUCUGCAAUAAGCAUCCACACUUCAUCCCAUUCCUGUUGUCCAUUGUUUCAAAGGUGGCACAUUCUAAUGGCAUCUGAAACAAUGAAAUUGCAGAGCAAAUACAUAUCAAUGAAUGCCAAGCAGUGGAUUAGCUUACAGUGUUAUGUUGUGUUUGAAGAAAGCACUCACAAAGCCGUCUGGGUUCAAAAAUCAGGGUUUUAUUUCACUGUGGUGAAGUUGAUGAUGCAGAUUUGUCUGCAGGAAACAAUGGAAGUACCAUCAAAGCAACUUUCACAGCACUCACAACGUCAACUCCUUUGAUAGUUUCCAGCAUCUGCAGUGCUUCUAUGCAGGAAGAAGGUUUUCUGAUCUUCACCAGCCACUGUAUUUCAGAAGAUGAGAGCAAAAGGCAUCAGGCUUAAUGAAGAAUUCUUGAAGGGUAUCCGUGACAGUAAUUGAAAAGGUUUUCAAAACCUUUCAGCAUGAGCCAAACAAGACAAUGGUAUAAAAGAAGUUGGAAAAGGAAUUGUAAGUGUUAAAGAAAACAUGGGGUUUGUAGCAUUUGGAAGCAGAGGAAUUAAAUACAUUGGCAUAUGUGAGUGUCACUUGCUAUACUCAGAUAUUAUCGAUUGAAUAUCUAACCACAUAGUGAGCAUCACGAGUGCCUGAGGAACAGUAAAACUUGCAUGUGUUUUCCAACAUGGUACAGUUAGGGCAGUGGAAAACUUUUUUCAACACUUUUAAUGUGUUCUCUCUCUUUUUCAGGAGCCAGGGAGAUGAAGGACUUAUCUCCCUCAUCUCAAAACUCCCUUUGCUGCUAUUUCUCUUUUUUUUUCCCUUCAAAUGUUCACAUACCCAUGUUAAUUAGUUUCUAACAUAAUUAAAAAUAAAUGGUUUUAGCUAA